CAUUCCUUCUCUCUCACAACUCCAGAUGUCUCACAAAACUCCAGAUCUUCUCUCUCUCACUCUCUCUCCUUCUCUCGCUCUACGACUCAAGAACAUCAUGCCAGAUCUCUCAUCAGAUGCCGUUUCAUGACAAGAUCGUUGAAGUGGUUCCGACACCUGAGCUCUGGUGGAGGAGACUAGGGUUUCGGCGAAGAUAAAGCCAUCGGAGGCUAAACAACUCAAAAAGGCUGUUUAAUUUGGUUUUUUGUCACCUGAAACCCUAAUUCAUUCAUUGGAGGAAACUGCAGGUGUUGUGUCUGAAGGUGGUAGGGGCCUGAGCAUUUGGGAUGUUUUCUGCCUCACAAAUCCAGGUUUGUCUUCUUCACCAUGAGCACAUACAGUAAGGUGUGUUAAAUAGGUAGUGUUUGCCGGUUGACGGCUCCAACCCGACACUAACCUGAAUACGACAAACCUUGGUUUAAAAAGCGGGAAGAACACAAAAGCAAUGAGGUCUAAAAUUAUUUAUUGGAUUAUUUUGAAUUUAAUGUUAGGUGACUGAUGCGAUUGAGAUGUUGGUCCGUAUGUUACAUAGAGUUUAAGUAGAGGGUAAUAUAUACUUAUCUUUGCUGCAAUAGAUUGUUAAUGUUUAAUAAUUUGAAUUACAAUCUCUAUAUUCUCAAUGUAGAUCAGAUCCACCAUCCAAUGUGCCUAAAGAAGCUUCUAAAGUGAUAAAUCCUAGAUGAAGCUUCGAGGAAAGAAUAUCUGGUCAAUAAAGCUCUUUCUCAGAUUUUAUAGUUGUUUUUAGAGAGCUUGAAAAUAAAUGUGUUUUGUUUUCAUAUAGGAAAGAAAAUACCUGAAUCAAAGAAUUGUUUGAAAAUAUUGAAAAGUUGGGGUAAAGUUUGAUUCAAUUGAAAGGCUGAAUCUUGGAAUGGAGAAUCCUGAUGGGAAUUUGUAAACUUUGAAGUUAUUUUAACAAAAAAAACCUUUUUUAAACCAACCCGACCCGAAACCCACUCCGGCCCGAACCCAUUCUGACCUGAACCCAUCCCGACCCUAACCCAUUCCGACCCGCCACCCAAUCCGACCCGAAUCAAAGAUUCGCUACCUUUUUUGGAUGAUUCCAUGUCGGAUCUGUGUAAUAUUUUCAGAAUGUUGAAUUUGAUUUAUGUGAAGGUGUUUUGUUGUUCGUUGUUUCUUCGAAUCUCCAUUUGUUGUUUUAUUUUUCUUCGAAGCUCCAUGUGCGGAUGUUAAGUUGACUGAACAAAAUAACGACUCAACGGUAAGAUUAUUGAGCAGAUCGGUUGCAACUGAGACGAGAUCCUUUAGCAGUACAUGGCUGUCAAGGUUGGUUCCGACAACUCGAUUCCGAUUUAGCGGCCGCAUGUAUAUUUUUCCAGAACAAAGGUACUUUUCGUUUUCUUAAUGUAACUGUAUUACACGUGGUGGUGUACUUGCAGCAGUGGUCUGCAAUCAAGGUCAUUGCACCCUAUGUGGUUAUCCAAUGGAAACCUUAUUGAGAAAGGAGACCUAGAGGUGAAAAUCUUUUGUGUAUGGUUGCUGCUAUGAAGAAAAUGAAAGAUCUUGGAAAUGUUUGCAUGGAACAAGCAGCAGAGAUUGAGAAGUUAAAUAAUCUGGGAACAGAUAUUUUAGAGGGUGACAGAGAACCUAAAAGUGGCCCGAGUGUUUACAACUUUGGUGGAGGAGAUGAAGGCGUCAAGGCGUCAAGGUGACAUGGGGGCUGGAAAGAGCACAGCUCUAAAGGACAUUCUUCAAGAACCAGUUUGGGCAGGAGCAUCAGCAAAUGCAGUUGUAAUAGAAGCUUGGGUUUGGCCUAAACGGGUUUGGGCAGGAGCAUCAGCAAAUGCAGUUUUAUCUCAAAACUAUACGUCUAUAUAACAUUCUUCUUUUCUUUUGAGACCGAAACACAAUUAAUAAUUUUUCUUUCUAUUUUAAACGACAGAUGCAGACAUGGGAAUUAUCUAAUAUCAAACACCUGCUUGAGUUUCUCAGAUUAUAAAAAAACAAAUACCAAAUAGAUAACAGACAUCACUAUAUAUUUCUGGUUGAUUGCUUUUAACCACAAUACCUACUAUUAAUCCAAUUGUUUUGACCCAAAUAGUCAGAAUAUCAAAUUCGGAAAGUUUUUCCCAAUAAGAUACAUUGAAUUUUGAAUUAUUGACGCAAUAAUCACUUUAGGCCAGUAGCCAAACAACCCCUAAUAAGGGUAGCUGGAUACAGUGUGUAUCAACCUUUAAAUAGUUGAAUUUGCUGCCAUAUGAUAUGUAGAUAUAUUCAUUUUUCAUUUAAAUAGUUGAAUUUGCUGCAAUAUGAUAUGCUGA